AAAUCUCCCUCAACCCUCACCAUGCUCACAAUAACCAUCACUCUGAUUUCGCAGCUUUUGCAACCCCCGAGUUCGAUCUCUACAAUUUGUCUGGACCACAAAUGACACAAAUGGGGACUUUUGUGGAAAGCCAUUGAUGAGGGCCAGACAUUUUUAUAUAUCAAAGAUUAUUAUUUGCUAUCACUGGGGAAGGAUCUCGCAAAGAGAAGUAUGAGGAGAACAUAAAGAAAUUCAACCUCAAACUUGUGGCUUUCCUUGCCAUUUGGCUGUAACCAGAGGACUGCCCCUUCCUUCUUUACAAUAUCAUCAUUGCAGUUAAGGAACAAUGUUUAGUAGUUCAGAGAUGGUACUACAAGUUCAUAUUUGCGUGUGAAGGAAAAAUAUGGAUUGCGGAUCUCUUAUACAAUAAGUCGAAAUGACUACAACGAACUUGGCACGUAACAAAGAGGUGCAACACGGAACACAUAGUAAAAUGUGAUGGAGAUAUUAAAGAGAUUUUGAGAUGUACUAGAAUGAAUGGAAGGCCACAGUUGUCAUAAAACUUUUCUUCAACUUGAGAUUUGUUAGAAGUUCAUUAUUGUAUUUUUUUUUUGAACAGUGAACUUCAUUAAACACAAGGGCAGGCCUCAAACCGAGGGCCACCACACCAAACUCUUACAUCAUAUACAAAGGAUUUUUAGACCAA